UUGUAUAAUGGGUCAGCGACUUAUAUUCAGUGGCAAGCUUAACCGUAUAGGGUAGGCGUAGCGAAAGCGAGUCUUAAUAGGGCGUUUAGUCGCUGGGUAUAGACCCGAAACCGGGCGAUCUAUCCAUGAGCAGGUUGAAGGUUAGGUAACACUGACUGGAGGACCGAACCCACUCCCGUUGAAAAGGUAGGGGAUGACUUGUGGAUCGGAGUGAAAGGCUAAUCAAGCUCGGAGAUAGCUGGUUCUCCUCGAAAGCUAUUUAGGUAGCGCCUCAUGUAUCACUCUGGGGGGUAGAGCACUGUUUCGGCUAGGGGGUCAUCCCGACUUACCAAACCGAUGCAAACUCCGAAUACCCAGAAGUGCCGAGCAUGGGAGACACACGGCGGGUGCUAACGUCCGUCGUGAAAAGGGAAACAACCCAGACCGCCAGCUAAGGUCCCAAAGUUGUGGUUAAGUGGUAAACGAUGUGGGAAGGCUUAGACAGCUAGGAGGUUGGCUUAGAAGCAGCCAUCCUUUAAAGAAAGCGUAAUAGCUCACUAGUCGAGUCGGCCUGCGCGGAAGAUGUAACGGGGCUCAAACCACACACCGAAGCUGCGGGUGUCACGUAAGUGACGCGGUAGAGGAGCGUUCUGUAAGCCUGUGAAGGUGAGUUGAGAAGCUUGCUGGAGGUAUCAGAAGUGCGAAUGCUGACAUGAGUAACGACAAUGGGUGUGAAAAACACCCACGCCGAAAGACCAAGGGUUCCUGCGCAACGUUAAUCGACGCAGGGUUAGUCGGUUCCUAAGGCGAGGCUGAAAAGCGUAGUCGAUGGGAAACAGGUUAAUAUUCCUGUACUUCUGGUUACUGCGAUGGAGGGACGGAGAAGGCUAGGCCAGCUUGGCGUUGGUUGUCCAAGUUUAAGGUGGUAGGCUGAAAUCUUAGGUAAAUCCGGGGUUUCAAGGCCGAGAGCUGAUGACGAGUCGUCUUUUAGAUGACGAAGUGGUUGAUGCCAUGCUUCCAAGAAAAGCUUCUAAGCUUCAGGUAACCAGGAACCGUACCCCAAACCGACACAGGUGGUCGGGUAGAGAAUACCAAGGCGCUUGAGAGAACUCGGGUGAAGGAACUAGGCAAAAUGGCACCGUAACUUCGGGAGAAGGUGCGCCGGCUAGGGUGAAGGAUUUACUCCGUAAGCUCUGGCUGGUCGAAGAUACCAGGCCGCUGCGACUGUUUAUUAAAAACACAGCACUCUGCAAACACGAAAGUGGACGUAUAGGGUGUGACGCCUGCCCGGUGCCGGAAGGUUAAUUGAUGGGGUUAGCGCAAGCGAAGCUCUUGAUCGAAGCCCCGGUAAACGGCGGCCGUAACUAUAACGGUCCUAAGGUAGCGAAAUUCCUUGUCGGGUAAGUUCCGACCUGCACGAAUGGCGUAACGAUGGCGGCGCUGUCUCCACCCGAGACUCAGUGAAAUUGAAAUCGCUGUGAAGAUGCAGUGUAUCCGCGGCUAGACGGAAAGACCCCGUGAACCUUUACUGUAGCUUUGCACUGGACUUUGAGCCUGCUUGUGUAGGAUAGGUGGGAGGCUUUGAAGCGUGGACGCCAGUUCGCGUGGAGCCAUCCUUGAAAUACCACCCUGGCAUGCUUGAGGUUCUAACUCUGGUCCGUGAUCCGGAUCGAGGACAGUGUAUGGUGGGCAGUUUGACUGGGGCGGUCUCCUCCUAAAGAGUAACGGAGGAGUACGAAGGUGCGCUCAGACCGGUCGGAAAUCGGUCGCAGAGUAUAAAGGCAAAAGCGCGCUUGACUGCGAGACAGACACGUCGAGCAGGUACGAAAGUAGGUCUUAGUGAUCCGGUGGUUCUGUAUGGAAGGGCCAUCGCUCAACGGAUAAAAGGUACUCCGGGGAUAACAGGCUGAUACCGCCCAAGAGUUCAUAUCGACGGCGGUGUUUGGCACCUCGAUGUCGGCUCAUCACAUCCUGGGGCUGAAGCCGGUCCCAAGGGUAUGGCUGUUCGCCAUUUAAAGUGGUACGCGAGCUGGGUUUAGAACGUCGUG
rnacentral:rRNA from 1 species